rnacentral:sRNA from 1 species
CUCCUGGGGGGUGAGGAGCGGGAGCGGCUCUGGGCCGAGCUACUGCGCACGGUGAGCCCGGAGCUGAUCCUGGAUCACGAGGUGCCUUCACUGCCCGCCUUCCCAGGACAGGAGCCCAGGUGCGGCCCGGAGCCCACUGAAGUCUUCACUGUCGGAACCAAGACCUUUUCCUGGACACCCUUUCCGCCGGACCUGUGGGGCCCGGGCCGUUCCUACCGGCUGCUUCACGGGGCAGGAGGGCACCUGGAAUCCCCCGCCAGGUCCCUGCCCCAGCGCCCGGCACCUGAUCCCUGCAGGGCCCCCAGGGUGGAGCAGCAGCCGUCUGUGGAGGGUGCCGCGGCCCUGCGCAGCUGCCCCAUGUGCCAGAAGGAGUUCGCCCCCAGGUGAGUAGGCCACCCCUGCGCCCGGCCCGGUUGUCCAUCUGUGUUUGGAAACCACAGCCGUUCAGAAGGUCAAGAGGUGGCCGAGCUCAGCGCUGGCUUUUAAAGCCCUGUUUCACACUGGAAAGGUGGCCCAGUGCUGUGGCCUGGCAUGUCCAGGUGGCUCUCUGUCACGGGUCUGGGGUCCACCUGCUUGCCGUGCUCUGUGGGCAGGGCAGGCUGGGGGCCCACAGAACAGCACAGAAGGAAGGCUGGGCGCACUGGCCCCGGGUCCACCUGGCCAUCCUGGAAUCUGGUGGCACCAGCGUCCCCAGGCCCAGAGCACAGGAACACCUUCCCGAGAGUGGGUCAUGGGUUUUAAAAAUGAAGAUCAUCUUUUUUGUCUGGAGAUGCUUUUUCUUAUUUUUGAAACCCAAUGUAUAUUUUUAUGUAUUUUUUAAGUAAAGGGGAAUGGAACCCAGUUUUGCUAACAAGAUAACCCAAACUGCCCAGUGCCUGGCCUUGUGUCUGGCGACCUCUGGGCCCUUGGCCUCCGGAGCAGGUACUGGGGCUGGGGUGGUGUGAAUGAUGCUGGUUUGUAACUUUUGGUUGAGUUAAUGGGCGGCAGGUUUCAGAGCUUAUGGAGACCAGGUCCUUCAGUCAUGCCUGAUGCCCCUGGUCUUCCAGAAGCAAAAACAGCUCGGGAAUGCGAAGGGACCGGAGUCCAAAGUUGGCAGCCAACAACAACAACAACAAAAGAAAAGGCCGGGCACGGUGGCUCACGCCUGUAAUCCCAGCCCUUUGGGAGGCUGAGGCAGGUGGGUUGCUGGAGCCCAGGAGUUUGAGACCAGCCUGGGCAACAUGGCAAGAUCCCAUCUUUACACGCCUGGGCGUGGUGGCGCGUGCCUGUGGUCCUAGCUACUCUGGAGGCUGAAGUGGGAGGAUUCCCUUGAGCCAGGAAUUGGAGGCUGUAGUGAUGUAUGAUUGCACCACUGCACUCCAGCCUGGGUGACAGAGUAAGACCCUGAAUCACGAACAGAGGGUACUGUUGGGAGCCCUGGGGAGAAAUCCAUGCUCUUGGCUGAAGCUCUGAGAUCCUUGUUGCUGUCAGGGUGCUGCCCCCCGCCCCCCGGGGAGGGGCUUUUGUCUUUGCAUCGCCUGCUUUUCCAGAUAGUCUAAAAAAAGACUUCUGAAGACAAGGACGUUCACGAGGAAAAACUUGCCAUUUUGAGCUUUUUAAGCAGUUGCUGAAAGCUUGGCAGACUGCCUCGAUUUUUCCUAAGUAGGCGUCAAUGAAGUCAGGUCCAGGCCUUGGUGUGUCUGGAAUGCUUCAAGCACAUUCGAACACUUGAUCGUAAGGGAGAGCCGGUACUUUGGAACCGGAACUCACCCGAGGCUGUGGCCACCGCAUGGGCAGGCUAGCUGGGGGACAAGCCCCAUAUCUUUGGGAACAAGGGUUUGCACAGCCACCCUGGGAUGCCCUGGGACUCCUGACCGCACAGGACCCCAGCAGGGAGGCCGCCUGGAUUGGAGGGUCUGGUCUAACAGCCGGACUUGGUCUUGAACCGUCGCCCUGUCCCGCACAGGCGCCUGCUGAGCCUGGAGCCCUGGCAGAGGCGGGUCUGGGGAGUGGAGCUGCCGGGAGACCUCCCAUUUCUCACAGCCUUGGUGUUCUCCGGGUCACCCAGAGGACCGUCAAAUGCUGGAUUUGACAAACUAUGUAGAAUGUUCUUUGUGUCUUUAAGAUCUUCUUGUGGUCCUAUUUGGACAUUUUGUGCAUUUUCAGACACCUGCAGGUCACGUGGGUGGAUGGGAAGCUGGGCACCUGGUGAGGGGUGAGGAUGUUGAGGGCCGGAGCUGCGUUUUGUCUCUGUUGAUGUGGCGAGGCCCUGGGUUGGUCACUGGGAUUUUUUUUUUUUUUUUUUUCGAGACGGUGUCUCGCUCUGUCGCCCAGGCUGGAGUGCAGUGGCAUGAUCUCGGCUCACUGCAACAUCUGCCUCCCGGGUUCAAGCGAUUCUCCUGCCUCAGUCUCCCGAGUAGCUGGGAUUACAGGCGCCACCACACCCGGCUAAUUUUUGUAUUUUUAGUAGAGACAGGGUUUCACCAUGUUGGUCAGGCUGGUCUUGAACUGAUCUCAGGUGAUCCGCCCGUCUUGGCCUCCCAAAGUGCUGGGAUUACAGGUGUGAGCCACCGCGCCCGGCUGGUCAUUGGGAUUUUAACAGCCCUGAGGCCCCUCACGCUGCCAGGUGCCAGCCCACCCUGCAGCCCUGCUCCCCUGCCCACACGCAGAAGCCACCAGAGGCUUCUGGACUGAGCCCCCACUGUCCUGCAGCCGGGCUGGCCUGUCCACACCACAGGGCCUGCUCAGCUACUGAGCAGAAGUGUCACGGACAGGGCAGAUCAGGCCGGGACAAAGCUCUUCCGCCACAGGCGGGGGUCUGAAGCCAUCUCAGAGGGCCCCCAAACAAGGGACACUGCCUGGAAACCCCGGGACAAGAUGACCUCGGUUCAGAUCUUAGCACCUUCUGGCAACCUUAGAGAAAGCUUGUGGAGGGAGGGGCUGGUUCCCAGGAUGGGCAGAAGCCGGAAAGUCUCAGACUGAGUGACCCUCGGGGGCUUCAGAAGGCACUGGGUGGGCUCUGCCAGAGUGAGAAGGCAGCUGAUGGCUGCUGGAGCCAGCCCCGGGAGUGGGGGUCCAGCUAUGGUCUGGAGAGGGGGACUUGAGGGUUGCAGUGGCCACACAGACGGGGCACAGGAGCCAAAGGAAGGGACACAGCAAAGCCCAAGGGUAAAACAGCGUGCCGUGGACUGGUCUGAGGGCAGAGGCUGUAGGGGAGCGAGGGGCGGUGUGGCUGACAGGUGGACACAGGGACACGUGUCCUGUGGACUUGGCCGCUCAGUGGGGGUGUGUCCCCCAGCAGUGGCGUGUGAGGGAUGGUCACUCUGAUGGGACACUGACCACUUGGCCUCCAGCAAGAUCUAGGCCCAAGUCUAGGCUGAAGCCGCCCACUCAGCCCCGGGACAUCGUCCCCGGCAGCUCUGCUGAGCAUGCCAGCUACGGCACUCUCCGGGAGUCAUGGCCGGAAGUCAACUGUUCUGGCUUCCAGGGCCACACCUUGGCCAAGGCUGGUGAUGGUCAUUUCCAGCCGCUCCAGUUGGGCUGAUGGGGCCACAUGAGGCCGGGGAUAGAAGGUGGCUGCGCUCAGACACCCCUCCCGGCCCCACUGGAUGCCCAGGGCGCUGACCUGCAGGACUCGGAUGGGUUUUCUCCUGCCACCCCUGCCUGGCCAGCCACCAUCCCAGCGCCAGCGCCCUCCUGAGAGGUGCAGGGGCCGCGUGGGGCCUCCCAGAGUGGCAGGUUGGCAGCCUGCACGCCGGUGACGGUGUCCUUCUCCGUGGUGAGGCUUGGUCCCUCCUCGCCAAAAACACCAAUUCUCUGACGUGAGCUGCACAGCCACCGCCCAGCCAUGUCUACUCUUCCGCCUCCUGUAGACGCAGCGGCGGCGGCUCUCCCUGGCAGGCCACCCGCCGUCCUGCCUUUUCUCCGGGUCAGGCCGCCUGUCUGCCGGGCUCCACGAUGAGCGCGCUGUCGAGCUGAGCAGGCGCCAGAAUCCCAUAGAGGGGCUUGUUCAGACACAGCUUCCCCACCCCCAGCUCGGACGCAGGGGCCUGGCUGAGAACCUCCGGCCUGGCGUGGCCUCCUCACGGGCACAGUGUGGAAACACCACCGGCGGUUACCGUGGUCUGCCGGGUGCAUGAGCCCCUGGGGUGGCCCCGUCCCUUGUUUCUGACCAGCCGGAUCCUCUCCAGCGGCAGGAGCAGAGAGGGCCCGGAGGGCCAGACGGUGCUCUCUGCGGCCAGCAUGCCGCGGAGGUGGCCGAGUGAGUGUGGCCCCUCCCUUGCAGGCUGACCCAGCUGGAUGUUGACAGCCACCUGGCCCAGUGCUUGGCCGAAAGCACAGAAGACGUGAUGUGGUGAGCGCCAUCCAAGAGCCCUGCGCAGAGUGCGGCGCCCGGACACGCUCUCCCCCGCCAGAAGCCCCGCCUCUCGGCUCCCCCGCAUGCGCAUUAAAGCAGGGCGGGCUCCUGUCUGUCUCUGUGUUGUGAUGAAACGUC